rnacentral:misc_RNA from 1 species
GUGAAUCAUCGAAUCUUUGAACGCAAAUUGCACUUUCUGGUAUUCCGGAAAGUAUGCCUGUUUGAGGGUCAGUUAAAUAAAAAUCGGUGUUGUUGCUGCUUUUCGUGGUGACUCGUCGGUCUUGAUUUGUCUUACCUUCGGUUAAGUGACUUAUAAUCUUUCAUGAUUUUUGAACGUAUUUAAAUUUCCUA